rnacentral:rRNA from 1 species
AUUGAACGCUGGCGGCAUGCUUUACACAUGCAAGUCGAACGGCAGCGCGGGCUUCGGCCUGGCGGCGAGUGGCGAACGGGUGAGUAAUGCAUCGGAACGUGCCCAGUAGUGGGGGAUAGCCCGGCGAAAGCCGGAUUAAUACCGCAUACGACCUGAGGGUGAAAGCGGGGGACCGAAAGGCUUCGCGCUAUUGGAGCGGCCGAUGUCGGAUUAGCUAGUUGGUGGGGUAAAGGCUUACCAAGGCGACGAUCCGUAGCUGGUCUGAGAGGACGACCAGCCACACUGGGACUGAGACACGGCCCAGACUCCUACGGGAGGCAGCAGUGGGGAAUUUUGGACAAUGGGGGCAACCCUGAUCCAGCCAUGCCGCGUGCGGGAAGAAGGCCUUCGGGUUGUAAACCGCUUUUGUUCGGGAAGAAAUCCUCUGGGCUAAUACCCCGGGGGGAUGACGGUACCGGAAGAAUAAGCACCGGCUAACUACGUG